GAAAGAGGGAAACCUUCUGUUUGCUUGCCAUUGCAAUAUUGAAAACCGCAGGAAAGAAAGCCCCGGCCUGGUAUUUUAUUUUGACCGGCAGAAGCUGAACCCGAACCAAACCCUAAGCAAAGAAGGGAUGUGCCUUAGUUCAGUCUCGAGGACGGGAUAAUAGGGGCGUAGCACCGAAUAUGUCGGAGUAGUCCCACCCAGUAGAUGGACAAGCCAGUAGUACCAAUCAAGGAAGCCUUGAACUCUAGAGCUUUCUUUCCUGAUGGGGACUAAGAAAAGGAGACGAAUAUAGCUAAACAGCUGCAGCAGAAUCUUAGUUCAGUCUCGAGGAAGGAAUAAUAGGGGCGUAGCACUGAAUAUGUCGGAGUAGUCUCACCCAGUAGAUGGACAAGCCAGUAGUACCAAUCAAGGAAGCCUUGAACUCUAGAGCUUUCUUUCCUGAUGGGGACUAAGAAAAGGAGACGAAUAUAGCUAAACAGCUGCAGCAGAAAGAACGAAAAGCCAAAAGUCAAGGUGCAUAGCGGUCUUUUCAAGAAUAGGGGAGUACAGAAUAAGGGGUUUGCAAGACAAAAGAGAAUCCGCUGGAACUACGGACAAGGAUAUUUUACUCAAUUCCCCUCUUACUAUUUUAAAAAGCGGAAGAAAAUGAAAUUCCACCAGUGUGUAUGUAAGACAACCUUAAUUCUCUAUGUUCAACGCUUUGGGCAAGCCAGAGCAAGACUUCUCUGUGGGAAUACCCAGCUAUCUCCUACUUUAAAUAGAGAAAAUCCCUGGAAUUCUCUGAUGCCG
rnacentral:lncRNA from 1 species